rnacentral:lncRNA from 1 species
AGCACACCCACACCAGCUCCCCUUCUGGGAGACCACCCCUGGCUUUGCUUCAGGGGGAGACAUUCCCAUCACCUCCAGCACAGCCAUGCUGAGGAUGCUCUGUGAUGAAGAAGAGUCACCCACUUGGUUUCUUCGCUCUGGGCAGUGUUCAUGGCACAGAGCCUCAGCUGUGGUGGCUCUGUUUGAACUCUGAGGCCAACUGGCUGUCCAAAAGACAAUUGCAUGGGAAAGCUGUGCCGGCGUAAGACAAAUCGUCAGUUUACCACCAUCACACACCUUGUACAGAUGUUCUUCAGUUUAACUGCCACUGCUGUGUAAAGUGCUUAUUUCAAAGUGAAAAGGCUGUUUUUAUCCAGAACUGUCCAGAAGACGUCAUAGUGCUGUAAUUAUAUCAGCAAUAAACAGUGAAGCUGCCACGGAGAGAGGAGCAAGCACAGCAAGGAGUUCUGCAGGGUGCUGGUGCCAAGCCAUAUCAAGGCAAUAGAAUUUAUGGCCACUAUUAUCUGCGUGAGGUAUAUUUAUGAUUCCCCUCCCUGUUGCUCUGUUAUCUUCAAAUCUCACAAUAUUUGUAUAUUAAUUCCCACAACAUUCCUGUAGGUAAGGAAAUUGCAUACAAGAAGCCCAGUAUUGGAGUCUCUUCAUGCAACAUGGAGCAGGGUUUGGAAGGUGGAGAAAUGAGAGAAAUUUUCAGCAGUUACAGAAACUACUAAUCUUACAUAAAACAGCAGAAGGUACUGCUAGAGGAUACAGGAUAAAUGAAACAGUAUUCCUUUUCUGUUACUGAGAAAACCUUCACACUGAUACAGUGAGUUUAUACUUUCAUGGCAUCUUUGCCUAAAUUUUUUACUGUGACAU